GAUGAACGCUGGCGGCGUGCCCAAUACAUGCAAGUCGAGCGAACGGACGAGAAGCUUGCUUCUCUGAUGUUAGCGGCGGACGGGUGAGUAACACGUGGAUAACCUACCUAUAAGACUGGGAUAACUUCGGGAAACCGUAGCUAAUACCGGAUAAUAUUUUGAACCGCAUGGUUCAAAAGUGAAAGACGGUCUUGCUGUCACUUAUAGAUGGAUCCGCGCUGCAUUAGCUAGUUGGUAAGGUAACAGCUUACCAAGGCAACGAUGCAUAGCCGACCUGAGAGGGUGAUCGGCCACACUGGAACUGAGACACGGUCCAGACUCCUACGGGAGGCAGCAGUAGGGAAUCUUCCGCAAUGGGCGAAAGCCUGACGGAGCAACGCCGCGUGAGUGAUGAAGGUCUUCGGAUCGUAAAACUCUGUUAUUAGGGAAGAACAUAUGUGUAAGUAACUGUGCACAUCUUGACGGUACCUAAUCAGAAAGCCACGGCUAACUACGUG
rnacentral:rRNA from 1 species